UGUAUAUAAUGCUGUGGGACUUCCAGUUGUCAGCCUCUCAGUCACUAAGCAGAAGAAAGAAUGGGAAGGCAUAGAGAUUAGAGGGAGAAGGACAAAGAGAUACAAGGAGAGUGACAGGAAGGAAGAAGAAAGGACUGAGAAGCUCAUAAUGCAAGGAAAAGCUGAGCUGACCAGACAUCCAGAACAGAGUCUCUCAAGGCCAGGAAACAGCCCCAGCUCAGCACUUGGCUCUGGGCAGUGACUGGACAAAUGACUGCAGAAUGGAAAAUGGAAGCGACCAGACAGAUAACAUCUCCCUGCUUUCAUGUGUCCAGGACAGGCUUCCCAGCUGGCAGUGAGAAAUGGCAGCAGACCGCCCACCAUACCUGGCAGAGGCAGAUGCAUAGUCCUGAACCUCGGGGACACAGAUACGCUACAACUGGAGAAGACACGGGUUCAUGGCAUAGCCUGGCUCCUCGCCAGCCUCCCGUGUAAUCACAGUCAACGAGAAACCUGAAGUGGAUGACCCCCAGCAUGGGUCCUCUGCUUCCCAGCCAGCACCUCCCAGCAUCUGGUGGAUGUGCACAAUUUGUAAUACUUCUGAGGAUAAUGACUUGGUCUCAUGGAAAAAGGAGAAUUGGUCCAAGAUAAUGUCUGGCCAAAUAUUAAUACCACCACUACAUUGAAUCUGCUUUAAGGCCCUGGUUUCCAGACUCCUUCCUGUCCUGGGUGGUACCCUCUGGGGUUGCCAUUGGAGCGUGUGUCUGAAUCACACUGGAGUCAAGAAGAGUCUGUAGGGAUGCUUCUCAGUCUGCCUGGCUGAAGAUCCUUGUUCUCAGGAUGAAGAAUGUACCUGGCUAUGUGGAACACUUCAGAGGAUGCCAGCAAGUGCCCAAAGUUCACAGCAAGUUCAGACCUUGGUCAAUUAAAGACCAGCUCUGGGAAGUCCAAACAGGCAGAUAGAGUACCUUGAUCAGAGAAUCCGUAGCAAUUUAGGGGUGUAGACUGCAGAGUCAGAGUAAAGGAAAAGUACAGAGAUACAGGCUGGGAUAAUGUAGAAAGACAAAGAAGUCACCUGCAGCUAGAAGUAACUCCAGUGCCUAAGCCUCACGCCUAGGGGAUACAGAGUCCUGGGUCUGAGUGGCACGUGGGAGGCUCUGGGAGGAAGCUGGAGGAGCAGUCUAGGUGAAGAAUUGUUAUUUAACCCUAAGGUUUAACAGAAGGUGAAGCCAAAGCUGCUGACCUAUUCCUUGUGUGUAUUAUCAAAAUUCAUUUAUGUGAAAGUGCAGACUUCCAACUCACACUGUUUUAGGCACAGAGGAAAUGUAUUUGUUCAUACAAAUCCCAGGCACUGGUAUUGAGGUUAGGUCCUGCUUCAGGAACUGUUGAAUCAGGUGAUUCUCUAUCUGUCAGCUCCAAGUUGAUGUUCCUUUCAGGCAGGUGUUUCCAAGAGGUAGAUUCUGCAGCUUUUGCUCACUUCUCAGCUUCAAACUCAACUGAAAAUGGGCCUCUGUUUCCUAAAAAUCCUAAAGUCCCAGAAUUGGAAUUGGAUCAUGUGCAUAUUUCUGGAGCUUGGAGGUAAAGGUCUAACCUCAUAAUGCAGAGAAUGAUAGAGAAGCAAUUUCCCUGAGGGAAAUGGGGGUGGAUCCUGUGAAGCACAGAUGAUAGAUGUCUACGUGCUGCCUCACUCCAGAUUAGCUCUGGAGCUGGGGUACUAGGCUUCAGGCUGAGGGCAGUGGAAGGAGCUGGCAGUUGGAAUGAGCUGAGGGUGUCUGCCAGCUGGAAGGCCUCUUUUUUGGUCAACAUUUAGCUUAGCACUUCAGACAUGGUUCAAGCAGCAAGGGGCACAAAGGGAUCUCAUCUCCAUAUUGCAGGCCCUGUCAUUUAAGGAAAGCCCAAGCGUGGAUUUCAGAUGAGCCUCUGCAUCCUCAACACUCCUCCGGAGGGUGUGCUACUCUCAGGAACGUGCUUUAGCUCUGUCCUUUUCCAACAUAGGGGACAUUUUACGGGGUGAAAAAAGAACAUUUAAAGCAGUCUCACUCCUCUUCUUUUUUUGGGGGGGGGGUUGCCAGUAUUUUAUUGAAGAUUUUUGCAUCUAUGUUGCCUCUCCUCUUCUUAAUCUUCCUCUGGAAGUAAUCACAACAAAGUCUCAUCAUGAUUUUAAAAUUCACGGCUUGGCUCAGUUUGGUAAGCCUGGGUUGGACUCGGACACAAAUGUCAUCCCCAAACUCAGCUCAGCCAUGGAUCCCCACUGAGUUGUUCUUCCCCUUGUCUUAAUUUCAGCACUCUCUUGUGAAGGCUUUGAGGCCGACAGGCACUUCUCUGCGUAGGGGGUUCUUGGAGAGUUGGAGUGACUUCAUUCUUUCCUGGGGCAUUCUUCUUUCUUCUGUUCGGACAAGAAUCUGUCCUUCCUUGUCCUCCCCUUCAACCCUUCCACUCUUUGAGCUGGAAACUUUUCUGACAAAGUAAAGAUGGAGGUGACAAAUCACAUUUGGGUCACAUUCCUAGGUCUCCUCCUCUUGGCUACCCCUAGGCUAAGGAGUCUGGAAACCAUCAAAUGAUUCAGAAUGAGCUGAAUGGGUUCUUCACGCUUCACAUUUGGCGUCAGGGAGCAGAGCAGUGGCUGAUGCAAGAAUGGAACAGAGAAGGAGUUGAGAAAAAAACAAAAAAAGAUGAAAAGAACCCGGCCAUAGCUAAGGGCUCCUACACAAAAGUAUUUAUGAAAAGCACUCAGUGUGGACCCAUGCAUGGCUGUAGGUCUUCGGUUGCUGCUGGAGGCCAAGUAGAGCCAGACUCUGCCCACAGCAUGUGCUCAGUUGAUAUUUACAGGAUUCCCUCUCUGUUCCUAGGACCUAUUCCUGUCCAGGACCACUGAAAAGGGAGUAAUGAGGCUGGGCAACUGGGGAAGUUAGGAUAGGCUCAGCAAAAUCUUGGGAGGAUGAACAAAGGUCACUUAAUCACAUCCACAGGUGACAAGCAGGCAGCCAUGGGGAAAAGACACUCAUGGGACAGUGACUGGUGUCAUGCUGUGCAUACAGGGUGAUGAUGGCAGCCUCCUGUCAAUGGAGAAGGCUCACUGGGUCACUGUUGACUCCAUUUUUCUUCAUGAAUCUUCCAGGUCUUGCUCCUCUUCUCCCACUAACACUCCUCCAGACCACUGAUCUUCUCCAGGAUCCUGCCUUAGUCCACUCCCACCCAGUUUUAAACCUAGGGGACCAUUAUCCGGUUUCUCUGGGGGCAGGGGCUAAAGUGGGGUGGCCUUGUCUACCCUGUGCUCCUUUCAGUCAAUGCUGAGCAUACUCUCUCUGUCUUGUUUUCUUCAGAGUGGCUCCUUUGGAUUGUCAAGAGCCUUUUCUUCUUUCAACAAAACCCUCCUUGCAUAAAUUUAAAAGAUUGGUUUUCAAAAUUUUUGAACUUGGAAGUUAAACAAAUGAACAAAAAAAUUGACUUUUUUCUCUUUGAAGUGCUCUUUGUAUUUUUAAACUUUGUAUAAGUAAAAUAACUUGUGGGGGUGCAGUGCAGUUUUGAGACAUGGAUAUGUUGUGUAGUGGUGAGGCCUAGGCUUUUAGGGUAGCCAUCACCCAAAUAGUGUACAUGGUAUACCCUAUAAGUAAUUUCUCAUCCCUCAUCCCCCUCACCUUCCCACCCUUCAAGUGUACAGUGUCUAUCGUUUCAGCAAUCUUAAUUCCCCCAAACCCUGCAAAUGACACAGAUGUUUUGAAGAGGAUAAUUAAGUCUGAGAAAUUGUAAAAAAGAAAAGCACAAACAUUGAUAUUUCAAUAUGUGAUCAUAUUUUAUUCUCAUUGGUUCUUCAUGGCCAAAUAAUUUGGGAGCAACUGUGACUCACUGCAGCCUCAGCUUCCUGGGCUCAAGCAAUCCUUCCACGUCAGCCUCCUGAAUAUCUGGGAAUACAGGCGUGUGCCACCAUUCCUGGCUAUUUUUUAUUUUUUGUAAAGAUGAGGUCUCACUAUGUUGCCCAGACUGGUCUCAAACAGUCCUGGCCUCAAGUAAUUCUACUGCCUCAACCUCAAGCAAUCCUCCCACCUCUGCCUCCCAAAGUGCUGAGGUCGCAGGCAGGAGGCACUGCACCCAGCCUGUUAGAGCUUUCUUUGUAAAUAUUUGGAAACCAUCUAAACAUCCACAGUAGGGAACUAGUUAUGUAAACUGGUACAUUAAUGUAAAGAUACUCUGCAGCCAUAUUGUAUAUUUUCAUAGAGACCGCCAAAGUUAUUUAUUCGUAAGUGGUUGAGAACAGUAUGCAUGUUAUAAUAUUUAUUAGCAACUUACUAUGCAUCAGGCAUUUGUACUUUCAUUUAUUGUCUUACUUAUCAAAGCAACCAUAUGAAUAUUAUUACUGUUCCCAAUUUCAGACAAGCCUUUACAAAAAAAUGUACAAAUCUUGUCUCAAUGCUGCACACUUAAUUAGUGGCCAAGACAAUAUGAGAACAUGGUCUGUCCCGCUCCUAAGCUCUCCAGUGUAAUCACAUUUUUGUAGACAAUAUGAUGACAAUAUGCAUUGAUGUUAGCACAAGUGUUAAGAAAACAAAAAUUUGCUUGGCAAACUGCUGUUUAUCCUUCUGGACUGCUUGGGUAUUUACUUUCUCUCUUUCCAUUUCAAGCAGAGUCGGUUACUCCUUCUGGGGGUGCUUCCAGAGUCAUUUGUGAAUACCCCAAAUAACACUCACCAACCUCUGUCUUAAACAUUAGUUUAUGUGUUUGUCACUACUAUUAUUAAGCUCUGUCCUACCAGCUAGGUCUGGCUUGUUUGAUUUUAUAACCCCAGUGCCUGGCAAAAAAUACAUAGAUGGUGUCAGAACACUCAUUGAAAUUCUAAAGGAGUUUAAUACUCAUUGAGCCAAGCAAGGGUCAGGGGGUCAGGUUCAAGGUCAAAAUAUCAAGGCAGAUGGCCACUGCUGCCAUUCUGGGGAAAGGGCAUCCUGGACAGACCAGGGAGCUAAUCUCAGUUGCUCUUAGGAUCACUGGAGUAGAGUUCUGAGCCCCAAAAGUUCUGAGCCCCAUAGGGCCAGAGCAGAUGGACUGGGAAGCUAGUGAACCUAAAGCUUCAGGACCCAUAAAGGGCCUGUAUUAAUUUGGCAUUUGUAAUUUUGCAACCUUUAUAUGAGAGAGGGCUCCCCCAGGCCAGGUGCAGUGGCUCAUUCCUGUAAUCUCAGCACUUUGGGGGGCCAAGGCAGGUGGAUCACUUGAGCCCAGGAGUUUGAGACCAGCUUGGGCAACAUGGCAAAAACCUUUCUCUACAAAAAAUACAAAAAUUAGCCAGGUGUGGAGGUGUGCACCUGUAGUCCCAACUACUUGGGAGGCUGAGUUGGGAAGAUCACCUAAGUCUGGGAGGUCAAGGCUCCAGUGAGCUGUGAUUGCACCACUGCACUCCAGCCUGGGUAACAGAGUGAGACCCUAUCUCAAAAAAUAAAAAAAAUUAAAAAGGAGAGGGUUCUCUUGCAGGUGGCAUAAGGUUCCAACUCCACAAAACCUGGAUCGCUGCCCCUGUCCAGAACUUCUCUAUCCCAGACACGACUUCUCCCUCCUUGUUUUCUAAGGCGAUCCUUUCUUAUGUCCCAUUAAAUGUCACGUGUCAGGUUUCCAAGUGUGCCUGUCAUCAAUCACCUUGUUAUCACUUGCACUUCAAAUCAAUGUUCCCCAGGAAGGUAGCUUGGGUUUCUUGGGUCUCCACGGUGUUGAAAUAUUUUGGGAAGCCCAGGAGAAGCAGCAUAUUUAUCUGUUAUCAGACCUCAAGGGUCACCCGAAAUGUCGACUGGUGAUGCGCCAUGCUUUGGUUGAACCUUCUCAUGUGGGAACACUAGGCGCUUUGAGUUCAUCAGAAGCCUGAUCGGCAAAUGCAUUCAUCUGUGAUUAAAUAGAACAUGGAGAAACAAUGUCAUCUAAAUGGGAUCAUUAAAAAUGUCAUCUAAAUGGGAUCUUUUAAUUGCUUGGAGACCAAGUCUUUCAAAAGCAAAUGUAGGAGCUCUUGGAAGCAAUAAUAUUGGGAAUUCCCUCAUAAACCUUUACUCUGUAGAUUGAUCAGCCUUUCCAAAAGCAGAGCAGGUCCCAAGGCCACAAAGGAGUGGCUCUGAGCACAGGAGGUGAGACUGAGCAGAAAACAUGUCCACUCGCUGCAGGUGUCUCCCCCCACCCCCCACCCCACAGGGCUCCUGGAAACCUCUCUUGGAGGGAGAGGGAUGGUUUUCCUUUAAGGAAGUGAUCAUUCACCUAGCCUCUGAUGACACAGCCUGCCCUGUGAGGUGAAAGGAGAAGCUCUCCUGUGGCGUGUGGUUUAAGAGCAGUUUAUCUUCUUGAAAAAUCCCACAUCUUAGCCCAUCUCUCAGCGCCACAUUGUCUACUCUUGGAAAAUGCUAACUAGCCAGAAGGAAAGAGCAAGAGAAGAAGAGAGGGGAGGCAAAGAGUAAAAGAGGAGAAAGAAAGAGUGACAAUCAAAGAGAGUAAGAAAAGUGAAGGGAGGAAAGGAAAAGAUGAAGGAAGAGCAGGUUGGAUGGUAAAAGGGAGAAGAAAGAGAGCAUGAGUAGCGACCCUGAAAAACAACAGUCUGUGAUGAGAUGUGGCCAUAACAGAGAUGGUGUAUUUUAGAAGCCUUCCGGAGAAAAACACUGGUACUUUUCCUGCAAAUGUAAUGAAGACUCCUCCUUAGCCCAGGUGUCCCCGGCUCCUCCCCGAGCCCCAGCACAGCAUCCCUUCCUUCCCAGAACCCCCUUCACCAACAUAUGCUGUUAAUUUCCUCCACCUAAUCUGGGGAGUCCUCUGAGGUAACUUGGAUCUUUCAGGAUCAUCAUGAGAUCUUGCAAACCCGAAACAACACCUCGUGGGGCAAUUGCUCAAGUGAUUCCUGACAUAGCACCACCUGGGGUAAACACAGGCCAGCUGCUGAACAGCUGUGCCCCAGCACUCAGUGCCAGAGGUGGAGCGGAGCUGUGAUUCAAGAUAAGGAGCCUCCCAGGCAGCAAGAGCGGCAGCAAAGCCCAGCACUGCAGCCCAGGCUCUUGCGCCGGCUUUCCUUUGUCUUUCUGGUUUUAUUAUAAAUACACUCAUAUAAAAAUAAGUACCACUCCACUUUUGUAUAACACUUUAUAAUUUAAGUAUUUCCCAUGCAUUAUCAUGUUUGAUCCCUUAGCAUUUAAAAUUGUUGAAAAAUUAGCCAAAGGCUCAAUGUUUUUAUAAUUUUCCUUACUCAGCCCACAUAUUUUCCACAAACAUUCCUUGUCUAUCACUUCCCUACACCUACAAUACAGGCAAAAAAAAAAAAAAAUCUUUUGACCUUUUUUCUCUGUCUAUUUGAAAGCAAGCUUUUCUCCCCUGGCCGGUUCUGGUGACACUGUAAUUGCAGGCUUUCGCAAUUUUGCUUUCCUGUCUACAUCUCCAGGAUUCUAAUCUUUUGUUCCCUUUUCCACUUACCUCGGACAAAAGGUCUGACCUUUGCACCUGUGGCUUGACUCUUUACUUCCUCCUUCCACAUUAGCAUAGCCAACUGUCACCAAGUUCUUUCAGGACCAGAGGACAAUUAGAGGCACAAAGGUAAGGUGUUGGCUAAUCACCUCUGCCUUGUGUCCCACUCAUUGCAGCUGCUUUUCUGCUCCUCGACGUUAUUAUUAUUAUUUUGGAGAUAGAGUCUUGCUCUGUUGGCUAGACUGGAGUGUGAUGGCACAAUCUUGGCUCACUGCAACCUCCACCUCCUGGGUUCAAGUGAUUCUCCCCAGUAGCUGGGAUUAUAGGCAUGCACCACUGAGCUUGGCUAAUUUUUGUAUUUUUAGUAGAGACAGGGUUUCACCAAGUUGGCCAGGCUGGUCUUGAAUUCUUGACCUCAGGUGCUCCGCCCUCCUCGGCCUCCUAAAGUGCUGGGAUUAUAGGCAUGAGCCACUGUGCCCAGCCUAUAAUUAUCAUUAUAUGAGAUGGAGUCUCACUCUGUUACCCAAGCUAGAGUGCAGUGGCAUUGUCUCGGCUCACUGCAACCUCUGCCUCCUGGGUUCAAGUGAUUCUCCCACCUCAGUCUCUGGAGUAACUGGGAUUACAGCCAUGCACCACCACACCCAGCUAACUCUUUUGUAUUUUUAAUAGAGAUGGGGUUUCACCAUCUUGGCCAGGAUGGUUUCAAACUUCUGACCUCAUGUGAUCCACCUGCCUCGGCCUCCCAAAGUGCUAGGAUUACAGGUGUGAGCCACCACAUCCAGCGCCAUAUUAUAUGGUCUUGAAUUCAGCUCUUUAAUUAUUAGCUGGGAAACCUUGGGGGAAGUUAUUUAAUCUUUUUGAGUUUCACUUUCCUGAUUCCCAGUAAAAUCAGGAUACUAGUAGAACCAAAGUAGACUUACAGUAAGACUUAAAGAGAUAGUGACGCACAGAGCCUCAUGCCUGGUAUGGGGCAGGUGCCUAGAAACAUCAGUUCCUAAUCUCUCCAUUGUACUUUCAUGUUUUUCUAACUAACUCAUAAUAACUAAUUAUGAGAAAAACACUUGGCUGUGGAAUCACAAGACCUAUGUUUAAUUCCAGCUUUUGCCUCUUUGGACUAGACCUUCAUUCUAGUGUCAUGUAGCACAUGCAUACAAUGGGGAUAAUACACAUCUUCUGUAUUCAACCGCCAAGGUGGUUGUAAGGGUCAAAUGGAAGGUGUGUAAAAAUGCCUCUGAAAUUCAAAGGUGACAUUCCAUUUCCAUUUUUAAUGAUGAGACAUUCUCUGGGACAGUACUGUGUUGACCCACCGUCUUUUAAGUUUUCUGUAGCUUCCUAAGGAGCCUUUUAAGAUUUUUUGUAACAUUAAAAUAAACAUAUUAUAACAUGUAUUAGCUUAACCCUUGUAAGUGUACAAGGUUCAGUAGUAUUACUGAACAUUUCACAACAUUUCACAUUGUUGGGAAAUCUUCAGAAUGUUUUCCAUCUUGAAAAACUUAAGAGGAUUGAAAAACAUCCUUCUCCCCAGAACACCAGCAUCUACUGUGUAAAGCUUCACAGCAUUUCCCUUUUGAGAUUUGCUUCUUAAGCCCUCUGAGGCAAAGGUGGGUCAUUGAGCCUCUACUGAGGCAGUCAGCCCAGGAACAUUUUAAAGUUACACCUGGAGAUAGGCCCAGGGGUUGCCCCUGUGCAAUAACCGGUUUUCUCCUCAGUGAAACUCUCCCUUCCUGAUACCUUUGCAAUGGUAGAAUCAGAAUGUGGCUUCCAAUGGUACAUACUUUGCUUUCUACUAUACAAGCAAGUCAUCACAACCCUAAGAUGCCUUAAAUGGCUCACACUGGCUCUCUUCCUGUUCCUCCUGGGGCCCAGCCUCUCUCUCAGACUGAACUCAUUCUCCUCUUUGGGGCCGUAGCUCCCCUGGAAGGACCUUGACUAUAUUCUAUAAAAGAAAACCUCUGCCAGCAAAUGUUGCUUCAAAUGUCUUCUUUUCUUGGAUUAAUUCUAAAUGACCCUUUAAAAAUAUUUCCUUUCUUUUUACUUCUUUCUGCCUCUUUUUCGAAGUGGACUCCUGGGCUCUUAGAGUAGAACUCCUGUUCUGUUAGAGAAACUUUAUCACAGGAUAGUAAAGGCAGACACUGAGUGGUCAGAUGAUCUGAGCUUGGAUUCUGUAUGAUCUUGGGCAGAGUUACUCUCUCAGCCUCAAUUUUCUAAUCUGGACAAUAGGCAUAAGAAUAUCAAUUGUUUUUGCUGUGGAGAAUUUUUGUGAGGAUAUAGCAACAAAGAAUAAUGAACAAGGAAUUUCUUCCCAGAAAGUGGAUCUAGAGCCCACUUGCCAUAUUGGUUGGAAUUUUACUUUACUACCAGGGCAGAAACGUUGCUUUUUUUGCGGCCAGUAGGAUUUGAUGAGUUCUGUGGUCCAAUGUGCAUUUCUUAUUUUUUCUUUAUGUGAAUUGAGCUGGAGUUUUUAUGUGGUUUUCUGGUUUCUGUCUCACCUUUGUGUAUCAGAGGUAUGUGGGCAGAUGAGCUGUCUUUUCAACGUACAGACUGUGGUCAUGAGAAGUACAUGCAGACCUGACAAGGAGCUCACAUAGCAGCCAGUGAUCCUGGGCUUUGGACAGGAUAAGACUUUGGUUUAAUUCAUUGGUGAUGACGGCAUGAGAAUACAGAUAGAAAAAGGAGUGCCCAUGGAUGCUUAGGAGUCAGAGGAACAACUGUGGCAGAUUCCAUUCAAUAGCUCAUUAGUAUCCAUUCUCUUCUUGUGCUUUUCCAAUGCAGAUGUGAAAGUACAGUUCUAGAUCUCCCAGCUUCCUGGCUGCUGGGUGUGACUGUGUCAUGUGGUUCUGGCCAAUGAAAUGCAGGUGCAGGUACCCUGGGGAGGCUUAGUUUCCUGAGUAAAAGCCCAAAGCCUUGUAAGGAGACAGUCCUUCACUGCUUCACCUUUUCCCUUUUUCCUGCACUGAACAUGGAUGAAAACUAGAAGUAGAGCAGCCACCUUGCAACCACGAGGCAACAAACUAGAAGAUGAAAGCCAGCAGGUCACACAUCCAGGGAGGAAGAUGAAGUCCUGAGUCCCCAGUGGCAAGGCUGAGCUAUGUGAACCCCCGUUAGCUUAAGCCAUAGUUUAGCUUUCUUUUAUUUUGUGGUUGAUUGCAAUCCUAGCUUGUACAAGAGCAGGCAUAUUAAAAUUUAAACAAUUAGUAACUAUCCCCUGAGAAUGGAAUCCCCCAAAAGCACUUAGGUGUGUGUGAGAGAGGCAUUGGCUACUCGAGGAGUGGAGAACUUAGGUGAUUCUGGGACUGAAACAGAGAACAGUUUUUUCAACCUGGGGCUGUGAGGUUUAGAAGAGGCUGAGAAGUUUGUCUCUUGUGCAGGAGUUCGUUAGAAGAAAAGCUGCUCCUUGGAAGAUGGUUGAAGGGACUCUUUGGAGUUUCAGCCCAAGACCUGAGUGCAAAAUAAUGGGACUAAACCAACUCCUUAAUGUACUUCAGGCAACUUUAACAAGUGUGGGGUUGAGAUGUCAUAAUACUAGCAUACUGCCUUCUCACUAGGCUCUGACAGCCACACCUGUUAAACUUUAAGAGUUUCACAAGCUGUCUCUGUCUUUAUUUUAGGUUCUAUUUAAAAGGGGUUAGUUGUUUUUCUCUGUGCAAAUUGGAAAAUUAUAUUCAUAUUUUGAUAAUUAUUGCAUUUUGAGUGUUUGAGAAUGGGGUUGGGUUUAUUUUUCCCAGUUAUUCCUAGUCUUUGUUUUAGGUUCUAUUUGGAAAGGGUCAAUUGCUUUUCUCUGCAUAAAUAAGAAAAUGCACGCUCUGAAGACAGGCAUGGUGCUGCUAAUGGCCCUCCCAGGUGAAGAAGUAUGGAGAGUUUCACAGAGCUGGAGCAGAGAAGUGAAAACUCAAAAGACAACAAAGCCGCAGAGAUUCUGCGUCCACCUGAGUUUUCACAAGCUCUCCCUCCUUGAGUCUUGAUUUCCUUCCCAGCAUUCCUACAUUGUUUUAAAUUAACACCACUUCACUAUACCAGUUGAUCAUUGAACCUUUUUUUUUCGUACUUUGCUACAUUUGUAGGAAAUCAUGUGGUUCAGUGGGGUCUGGAGGUCCACUGUGAGGUCUCAGCAGUGAAAUUACAGGACUCAAGAGCAUGGCCCUUUUAUCAGCCUUGUGGCACUGCUCUCUUGAGCAUUGAUGUCUGUUGUGACCACCUGCAGAGCUGUCUGUUGAGUGGCUCUCUGGCAGGAAGACAACCUCUUGGACCUCUCCCUGCUAUGUCCCAUGCUCUGUCUUUCUUUUUGUCUUCUAUGUUAUUAACAGCUAUUAUUGCUUUUCUUGACUGACGUUUUCUUUCUUCACUUAUCUCCAUGAGUGAAGGCUUAUGGAAACUUUCCUCAUUUGUUCUUUGAUUUUUACUAUUUCUGCUCCAUUUCUUCACCUUUAUAGGGGAGAAGGUGCUCUGCAUUGAUCACUCCUGCAAAAGGGGAGUGCUAUUUUUGUUAUUUAAAGUCCUUGGCUUGGUGCCUCCUUUGAGUAUUUUUAAUGUAGUUUUAACAUGUCCUACUUCUUCAUGGCAUUUUGAAAGGGGAGAGUCUCCUUUCCCCUAAAUGAUUCCUAUUAUAGUUUUAAUUUCUUCCUGUUUUAGUAGGAAUUUGCAUACUCACUAUUUGAUCUUGCCAAAUUUCCAAAAUUUUGAUGAUUCUAUUUUGAUAAGGAAAGAAAAUCUUGGUCAUCACCUCACUGCCAUGAACCAUGUGUCUUUGGGUCACUUAGCUCUGUGUACCUCAGCUUUUCUGCUUACAGCAUAAACAUACUUCGUGUAAAGGCAAAGUGCUGGAUAAGACAACUUCUCAAGUAUCUCUACUGCUCUAACACCAGAACUCAAUGAUCAGAAAAGGGAUGGCUUUUGUUUUGUAACAACCUCUAGUUCAUACAUAUCCUGUGCUGCUUCUUAGCCCAUUUCUUUCUCUCCUUUUGGUAAGUUUAUGUCACUUUAUUGGAUUAAAAAAAAAAACAAAAACCUGUGCAGCACUUUACAGUUUCAAAGACCUUUCAUAUGCAUUAUCUAGGUUGGUUCCAUUGCUCACACAUGUAAUUAACGAGCCUUGACUCCAGCAUCCUUAAAAUUUGCCACAUAAAAUAAGCUCAUGCUGUGCUUCCUAUCACUCCACUUCAUCCCAUAACAUUGUAUCAGGAACUCAUUGCAAAGUUAACAUAUGUAGCUUUAUCUUUUUCUUUGUAAUGGCUAUAUAAUAUUCAACUUUAUGAAUAUGUAUGUAUAUAUACAUAUAUGUAUAUUCAACUGUAUGGAUGUGUGUGUAUAUAUGCAUAUAUGUAUACUCAACUUUAUGAAUAUGUAUAUAUAAAAUAUAUGCAUAUGUAUAUUCAGUUUUAUAGAUGUGUUUAUGUAUACAUAUAUGCAUAUCUAACUUUACGUAUAUACAUAUUCAUAAAGAAGAAUAUUAUAUAGCCAUUAAAAA